UACACUGUCUGUCGAAUUGGUUUUGCCUGACUGAGAAUGCUGCAUAUCGACGGCUGAGAGGGACAGGUUAAUAGAAGAAGAUGAUGAAGAAGAAGAAGAAGAAGAGAGUGCCAUACAUGCAGAUGAAUAAAGAACACACUGGAGCUGGUUGUUCAAAGCCUUAACGAUCCCUGACCCUGUUGGAUCCGGAUCCAGGGAGAUACAAUUACCAAGGGUAAACGGCAACCUCCCACCCCUAACCGCCACUGAUCGUCAUCUGCACCUUGCAAAGAAAGACUGCAGCUAUUACCAAAGCUACACAUGGACCACUGCGUCUUUGUUAAGCUGGGUCUCUUUCCUGGACCAAGAUAUUGACAGAGCUGUUGCUGCCAUUAACCCUGUGUACUCUUUAUUUUUUCCUCAAAGAAAGAACUAUUGGCUGUGUUUGUAUUUCCGAGGCAAACCCCCUGGAGUGACUGACAAAAAAUUAUAUGUAAACUUUAUUUUUCUUUCCCAUGUUUUUUGUGUGUUUUUCCCACACAAAAAACUGACCUUGAACGUAUUUACUCACACAGAG